rnacentral:rRNA from 1 species
UACGUAGGGUCCGAGCGUUGUCCGGAAUUACUGGGCGUAAAGAGCUCGUAGGUGGUUUGUCGCGUUGUUCGUGAAAACUCACAGCUCAACUGUGGGCGUGCGGGCGAUACGGGCAGACUUGAGUACUGCAGGGGAGGACUGGAAUUCCUGGUGUAGCGGUGGAAUGCGCAGAUAUCAGGAGGAACACCGGUGGCGAAGGCGGGUCUCUGGGCAGUAACUGACGUGGAGGAGCGAAAGCGUGGGGAGCGAACAGG